rnacentral:rRNA from 1 species
GAUGAACGCUGGCGGCGUGCCUAAUACAUGCAAGUCGAACGAAACUUCUUUAUCACCGAGUGCUUGCACUCACCGAUAAAGGGUUGAGUGGCGAACGGGUGAGUAACACGUGGGCAACCUGCCCAAAAGAGGGGGAUAACACUUGGAAACAGGUGCUAAUACCGCAUAACCAUAGUUACCGCAUGGUAACUAUGUAAAAGGUGGCUAUACUACCGCUUUUGGAUGGGCCCGCGGCGCAUUAGCUAGUUGGUAGGGUAAAGGCUUACCAAGGCAAUGAUGCGUAGCCGAAUUGAGAGGUUGAUCGGCCACAUUGGGACUGAGACACGGCCCAAACUCCUACGGGAGGCAGCAGUAGGGAAUCUUCCACAAUGGGCGAAAGCCUGAUGGAGCAACGCCGCGUGGGUGAAGAAGGUCUUCGGAUCGUAAAACCCUGUUGUUAGUGAAGAAAGUGCGUGAGAGUAACUGUUCACGUUUCGACGGUAUCUAACCAGAAAGCCACGGCUAACUACGUG